rnacentral:misc_RNA from 1 species
GCAAACUUGGUCAUUUAGAGGAAGUAAAAGUCGUAACAAGGUUUCCGUAGGUGAACCUGCGGAAGGAUCAUUAUCGAGUUUUGAAAUGGGUUGUAGCUGGCCUUCCGAGGCAUGUGCACGCCCUGCUCAUCCACUCUACACCUGUGCACUUACUGUAGGCUUCAGGAGCUUCACGGGCUUUCAUUAGUCCGGGUUGUAACUGGGCUUACGUUUACUACAAACUCUUAUAAAGUAUCAGAAUGUGUAUUGCGAUGUAACGCAUCUAUAUACAACUUUCAGCAACGGAUCUCUUGGCUCUCGCAUCGAUGAAGAACGCAGC